rnacentral:rRNA from 1 species
UCCUUAGAUGUUCUGGGCUGCAUGCGCGCUACACUGAAGCUAUCAACACGUUUUCCCUCCCUGAGAAGGGCGGGUAACCUUUUGAAUCAGCUUCGUGGUAGGGAUCGGGGCUUGCAAUUGUUCCCCGUGAACCAGGAAUUCCUAGUAGACGCGAGUCAUAAGCUCGCAUCGAUUAAGUCCCUGCCCUUUGUACACACCGCCCGUCGCUACUACCGAUUGAACGUUUUAGUGAGGCAUUUGGACCGACGCAUCUCAGUUUAACCGCUGGUUUGUGUUGGAAAGACUUCCAAACUUGAGCGUUUAGAGGAAGUAAAAGUCGUAACA